rnacentral:rRNA from 1 species
UACGAGCGGCCCAAACGUUAUUCGGAUUUACUGGGCUUAAAGAGUUCGUAGGCGGCGCGGAAAGUAGGGUGUGAAAGCCCUCGGCUCAACCGAGGAAUUGCGCCCUAAACUGUCGCGCUCGAGGAACCUAGAGGUGAGCAGAACUGAUGGUGGAGCGGUGAAAUGCGUUGAUAUCAUCAGGAAUACCGGAGGCGAAGGCGGCUCACUGGGGGUUAUCUGACGCUGAGGAACGAAGGCCAGGGGAGCAAACGGG